GGCUCCAACAUCCCCGCAGGCUGGGCGCUGAAUCGGACCUGAUUCCCCGACGACGCGCAGUGAGUCUGCUGUAGCC
rnacentral:sRNA from 1 species